rnacentral:rRNA from 1 species
GUCAUAUGCUUGUCUCAAAGAUUAAGCCAUGCAUGUCUAAGUACAAAAUUAAUUAAAGUGAAACCGCGAAAGGCUCAUUAAAUCAGUUAUGGUUCCUUAGAUCGUACCACAAUUACUUGGAUAACUGUGGUAAUUCUAGAGCUAAUACAUGCAAACAGAGCUCUGACCGGAGACGGAAGGAGUGCUUUUAUUAGAUCAAAACCAAUCGGCGUCGAUAGUGUUUCGGCAUUAUCGUUCGUCGCUCAAUAAAUGGUGAAUCUGAAUAACUUUAUGCUGAUCGCAUGGUCUUGUACCGGCGACGCAUCUUUCAAAUGUCUGCCUUAUCAACUGUCGAUGGUAGGAUCUGCGCCUACCAUGGUUGUAACGGGUAACGGGGAAUCAGGGUUCGAUUCCGGAGAGGGAGCCUGAGAAACGGCUACCACAUCCAAGGAAGGCAGCAGGCGCGCAAAUUACCCACUCCCGGCACGGGGAGGUAGUGACAAAAAAUAACGAUACGGGACUCAUCCGAGGCCCCGUAAUCGGAAUGAUUACACUUUAAAUCCUUUAAAAAGGACCAAUUGGAGGGCAAGUCUGGUGCCAGCAGCCGCGGUACUCCCAACUCCAAUAGCGUAUAUUAAAGUUGUUGCGGUUAAAAAGCUCGUAUUUGAAUUUGUGUCCCGCACUGUCGGUUCACCGCCCGCGGUGCUAACUGGCAUGAUGGCGGGACGUCCUGCCGGUGGAUGUAAGUAAAAUUUUGAUUUAAUUAUCAUAUUUUACUCAUCCGACUUAUAAAUCCUGUCGCGGUGCUCUUAAUUGAGUGUCGAGGCGGGCCGGCACGUUUACUUUGAACAAAUUAGAGUGCUCAAAGCAGGCUAAUUAAUGCCUGAAUAAUUAGUGCAUGGAAUAAUGGAACAGGACCUUGGUUCUAUUUUGUUGGUUUUCGGAACCCCAAGGUAAUGAUUAAUAGGGACAGAUGGGGGCAUUCGUAUUGCGACGUUAGAGGUGAAAUUCUUGGAUCGUCGCAAGACGGACUAAAGCGAAAGCAUUUGCCAAAGAUGUUUUCAUUAAUCAAGAACGAAAGUCAGAGGUUCGAAGGCGAUCAGAUACCGCCCUAGUUCUGACCAUAAACGAUGCCAGCUAGCGAUCCGCCAAAGUUCCUCCGAUGACUUGGCGGGCAGCUUUCGGGAAACCAAAGCUUUUGGGUUCCGGGGGAAGUAUGGUUGCAAAGCUGAAACUUAAAGGAAUUGACGGAAGGGCACCACCAGGAGUGGAGCCUGCGGCUUAAUUUGACUCAACACGGGAAACCUCACCAGGCCCAGACACUGGAAGGAUUGACAGAUUGAGAGCUCUUUCUUGAUUCAGUGGGUGGUGGUGCAUGGCCGUUCUUAGUUGGUGGAGCGAUUUGUCUGGUUAAUUCCGAUAACGAACGAGACUCUAGCCUACUAAAUAGACGUUACACUUACCAGUAUCUCGAAGGCUCACAUCUUUUGUUUCCUUUACUGCACAUUGACCUAUACUCCGGUAUUUGGUUUGGUGUGUAGUGGGGCAGAAGUUUGUGGUUUUUACUACUGGCGUACAUAUAAUUCUUCUUAGAGGGACAGGCGGCUUCUAGCCGCACGAGAUUGAGCAAUAACAGGUCUGUGAUGCCCUUAGAUGUUCUGGGCCGCACGCGCGCUACACUGAAGGAAUCAGCGUGUCUUCCCUGGCCGAAAGGUCCGGGUAACCCGCUGAACCUCCUUCGUGCUAGGGAUUGGAGCUUGCAAUUAUUCUCCAUGAACGAGGAAUUCCCAGUAAGCGCGAGUCAUAAGCUCGCGUUGAUUACGUCCCUGCCCUUUGUACACACCGCCCGUCGCUACUACCGAUUGAAUGAUUUAGUGAGGUCUUCGGACUGGUACGCGGUGAUGUUUCGACAUUACCGAUGCCGCUGGGAAGAUGACCAAACUUGAUUAUUUAGAGGAAGUAA